rnacentral:rRNA from 1 species
AUACGUAGGGUGCGAGCGUUGUCCGGAAUUACUGGGCGUAAAGAGCUCGUAGGUGGUUUGUCGCGUCGUCUGUGAAAUUCCGGGGCUUAACUCCGGGCGUGCAGGCGAUACGGGCAUAACUUGAGUACUGUAGGGGAGACUGGAAUUCCUGGUGUAGCGGUGAAAUGCGCAGAUAUCAGGAGGAACACCGGUGGCGAAGGCGGGUCUCUGGGCAGUAACGGACGCUGAGGAGCGAAAGCAUGGGUAGCGAACAGGAUUAGAUACCCUGGUAGUCCAUGCCGUAAACGGUGGGCGCUAGGUGUAGGGGUCUUCCACGACUUCUGUGCCGUAGCUAACGCAUUAAGCGCCCCGCCUGGGGAGUACGGCCGCAAGGUUGAAACUCAAAUGAAUUGACGGGG